UAUAAGAGAUAUAGAAAAAGACAGACAUGUAGAGAAAGAGAAAUGUUGGGAGAGAGAGACUGACAGAGUGGGAAGAUGAGACCCUGACAGCAAAGGAAAUCUAGUGUCCACCAUUCAAGGAAUUAUGGCUCUCUCAUGGGUCGUAUGCUGUUCACUGCUUUCUUUCCUGGCCAUCUCCUCCGCUCUGGACAAUUGUACUGAAAGCAGUUCAUGGAAAGUGUCUCCAGCGCUGCAGUCCUUACAGUGCCAUAAUGACUAUGAGUCCUUUAUCCAGUGUAGCUGGAAGGAAGGUCCAC